GGACGAGGAGGACAAGGAUUUGUGCUCGGUAUAACACGAGGUGGUUAGCGGAGGUUGCGGGUGAUCGAGGUGGGCGAGGAGGAGGACGAGGAUGACGAGGACUUGUGUACUAUCUGUGCCCCACCUAGUGAUCCACUAGUACAUAUCCUCUGACGUGACAUCGCUCCGCUACGUAUGCAGAAGAAAAGAUUUAUCAAGAUGCAGAUUGCUCCUCUCUUCUUGCCAUUGUGCUUUCAGCCAUUGUUGUGCUGUGUGUUUAAAAUUUAGGGCAGUAUAUAAUAUAGAAUAACAUGUACAUCUACGAAUAUAGCACUGCAAUAAAUCUUAUAGAAAUGAGCUCACAUUGAGAUUUCUCUGUAUUUAUAACUCGACGCGAGAAGGCAAAAAUCAAUUUAAUGCCAUCUGUGAGGUAAUUGGACUCGCAUUUGCACUACGAGAACUCGUUGGGCAUUUUGCGGUGAAAUUUGAAAAAUUGUUGUACAAGAAAUUAAAUAACUAUAAAAAUGGAUGAAAAAUAUUAUCUCUAAUAGUGAAUGUAGCUAAUACAGCUUUAACCGUAUAUUGAUUAUGUUGAUGAUCUAUUCUGACAAAAUCGGAAUUAGAUAAGC